CUAGAGCUAGAAACGGCUGAAAUAUUUUUCAGCAUUACUUUCUUCACCUAGAAUACUAAAUAAACACACAUUGAGAGAGUUUCAGGAUCAUAAAACACAAAAAAGGGUCCUGGGUAUUGUUCUAUUGAUCAAUUGGUUCAAUUUUCUAGGUUUUUCAAAAGAACUUCCAUUAUUUUGUUAUUGCUGGGUUCCAAACAUGGAUUGAAUUAUUUGUAUUGCUGCUGAUCUACUGAUGUUGUUUCCUCCUAACCUCAGGCUAUUCUCUUGUUGUUUUUGCUGUGUUCAGGUACACAUCACAAGCUUUGAAAAAUGCAAAAAUGAUCCGUUUCAUUUGAAGAUUGGACACUUUGAAUCUUUCUAUUCUUAAUGCCAUGUUGCUCUUUCAUUUGGCUUGUGGUUUAUUUCAAUUGUUAAAUGUACCAAUAAUUGAUGUUGUGUAUCACUUAGUCAUAAUGUAGGUUGGUAGAAGAGAACUGGUUUAGUGCCUCAUGUGGGGUGUAAUGGUCUUGCUAUACUAGCAGAUCAUGAUGUCUAUGGAUUGUGUUAAGGUCUGGAUUGUAUGUUAACUUUGUAUGCUGGUACGAACAAGUAUUUUUGGUUAAAUCAUGCUAAAUGUUAAUAUCAUUUAAGGAUAAUUUGUAUUCAAUAGGUGCUGAACCAUUUCAUGUUUGGUU
rnacentral:lncRNA from 1 species